rnacentral:rRNA from 2 species
UGGCGUCUUCGGCGUCCGCGUUGUAAUCUCGAGAAGUGUUUUCCGUGCUGGACCAUGUACAAGUUCCUUGGAAUAGGACGUCAUAGAGGGUGAAAAUCCCGUACUUGAUGUGGCCGCCCAGUGCUUUGUGAUACACUUUCCAUGAGUCGAGUUGUUUGGGAAUGCAGCUCAAAAUGGGUGGUAAAUUCCAUCUAAAGCUAAAUAUUGGGGAGAGACCGAUAGCGAACAAGUACCGUGAGGGAAAGAUGAAAAGCACUUUGGAAAGAGAGUUAAAUAGUACGUGAAAUUGUCGAAAGGGAAGCGCUUGAAGUUAGACAUGCUAGUUGGAAUUCAGCCUUGCUUUUGCUUGGUGCAUUUUCCGGUUAGCAGGCCAGCAUCAGUUUUGCCUGUCGGAUAAGGGUAGGAGGAAUGUGGCCCCUCGGGGUGUUAUAGCCUCUUACUGGAUACGACGGGUGGGACUGAGGACAGCAGUGCGCCUUUAUGGCGGGCCUUCGGGCACCUUCGCACUUAGGAUGCUGGCGUAAUGGCUUUAAGCGACC